AUUGAACGCUGGCGGCGGGCCUAACACAUGCAAGUCGAACGGUAACAGGAAGAAGCUUGCUUCUUUGCUGACGAGUGGCGGACGGGUGAGUAAUGUCUGGGAAACUGCCUGAUGGAGGGGGAUAACUACUGGAAACGGUAGCUAAUACCGCAUAACGUCGCAAGACCAAAGAGGGGGACCUUCGGGCCUCUUGCCAUCGGAUGUGCCCAGAUGGGAUUAGCUAGUAGGUGGGGUAACGGCUCACCUAGGCGACGAUCCCUAGCUGGUCUGAGAGGAUGACCAGCCACACUGGAACUGAGACACGGUCCAGACUCCUACGGGAGGCAGCAGUGGGGAAUAUUGCACAAUGGGCGCAAGCCUGAUACAGCCAUGCCGCGUGUAUGAAGAAGGCCUUCGGGUUGUAAAGUACUUUCAGCGGGGAGGAAGGGAGUAAAGUUAAUACCUUUGCUCAUUGACGUUACCCGCAGAAGAAGCACCGGCUAACUCCGUG
rnacentral:rRNA from 1 species